rnacentral:rRNA from 1 species
GACGAACGCUGGCGGCGUGCUUAACACAUGCAAGUCGAACGAUGAUCUCCCGCUUGCGGGGGUGAUUAGUGGCGAACGGGUGAGUAAUACGUGAGUAACCUGCCCUUGACUCUGGGAUAAGCCUGGGAAACCGGGUCUAAUACUGGAUACUACUUCCUGCCGCAUGGUGGGGGGUGGAAAGGGUUUUACUGGUUUUGGAUGGGCUCACGGCCUAUCAGCUUGUUGGUGGAGUAAUGGCUCACCAAGGCGACGACGGGUAGCCGGCCUGAGAGGGUGACCGGCCACACUGGGACUGAGACACGGCCCAGACUCCGACGGGAGGCAGCAGUGGGGAAUAUUGCACAAUGGGCGGAAGCCUGAUGCAGCGACGCCGCGUGAGGGAUGACGGCCUUCGGGUUGGAAACCUCUUUCAGCAGGGAAGAAGCCACAAGUGACGGUACCUGCAGAAGAAGCGCCGGCUAACUACGUG